UACGGGGGGGGCAAGCGUUGUUCGGAAUUACUGGGCGUAAAGGGCUCGUAGGUGGCCAACUAAGUCGGACGUGAAAUCCCUCAGCUUAACUGGGGAACUGCGUCCGAUACUGGAUGGCUUGAGUUUGGGAGAGGGAUGCGGAAUUCCAGGUGUAGCGGUGAAAUGCGUAGAUAUCUGGAGGAACACCGGUGGCGAAGGCGGCAUCCUGGACCAACACUGACACUGAGGAGCGAAAGUUAGGGGAGCAAACAGG
rnacentral:rRNA from 1 species